GAUUUUGAUCUGCAGAACGAAAGGGGAAUGAGGCAAAUUAAAUGUGCCUUACUUCAAAGUCUUGAAUCUUUCAUCAAUCUCCAAUUAGAAGGAGCAUGAAGAAAAAGAAGAUGAACAGGAAUUGACAAUGGCGCGUUCCAUACCUGGGAGUGAUUGCACAGUGGCACCCUUGGACCUAAUUUCACCCUGACAUCAAGUUGGUUUUAAGGAGAACCAUGAGAGAAAUUAAUAAAUCAAAGUUUGCCGAAUAUCAAAGAAUAACAGAGUUAUGAGGCUUCAAAGUUUUAAAUUUGUGACAUGACAUGCGAGCAGCUCCCAAUAUGUCAAUCAUGUAAUAUAAAUUCCAUAAAUUACCAUUUUUUAAUGGUUUUCAUGAUAAUUAAAUGGGUUUUUAUCAGAAGCUUGUAUGAAAUAAUGUUUCUGAUAACAUUGAAUCCACAGGUAAAAUCAUUUUCCAAUUUCCCUAGAAAAGGCACUUGUAUAGAAUUGAUAUCACAUAAAAUAUGGGGAGCUGCUCGCAUGUGAAGUCACAAAUUUAAAACUUCAUAACUCUUAUCUUGGUGGAUUUUCACCAACUAACAUGCAAUGUCAGGAUGAACCUUGCCUUUAAACCUUAUAUUGGCAGCCUUUCAUUGACAUUUACAUACAGUAUUUUAGGUUUUGUGAG